AGGAGUUCUGGGCUGUAGUGCGCUAUGCCGAUCGGGUGUCCGCACUAAGUUCGGCAUCAAUAUGGUGACCUCCCGGGAGCGGGGGACCACCAGGUUGCCUAAGGAGGGGUGAACCGGCCCAGGUCGGAAACGGAGCAGGUCAAAACUCCCGUGCUGAUCAGUAGUGGGAUCGCGCCUGUGAAUAGCCACUGCACUCCAGCCU
rnacentral:SRP_RNA from 1 species